rnacentral:misc_RNA from 1 species
GGAAAUGUUAUCUCAACACCAGCAGUAAAUGGAUCUGUUCUUCCUGGAAUCACCAGGAAAAGUAUCAUUGAAAUUGCUCUUGACAUUGGAUACCAAGUAGUUACCAUCUUGCACUAUUGUUAGUUCUUUUUAUAUUGAUUUCAAAUUUAAUAACAAGAGUGUGCUACCGACUUUAUAUCAGAUGGAGGAGCGCAGUAUUCUAUUGGAGGAAUUACUUGAUGCUGAUGAAGCUUUCUGCACAGGAACU